rnacentral:rRNA from 1 species
CCUACGGGAGGCUGCAGUGGGGAAUAUUGGACAAUGGGCGAAAGCCUGAUCCAGCCAUGCCGCGUGUGUGAAGAAGGCCUUCGGGUUGUAAAGCACUUUCAGUGUGGAAGAAAGCCUUGGGGCUAAUACCCUCGAGGAAGGACAUCACCCACAGAAGAAGCACCGGCUAACUCCGUGCCAGCAGCCGCGGUAAUACGGAGGGUGCGAGCGUUAAUCGGAAUUACUGGGCGUAAAGCGCGCGUAGGCGGUCUGAUAAGCCGGUUGUGAAAGCCCCGGGCUCAACCUGGGAACGGCAUCCGGAACUGUCAGGCUAGAGUGCAGGAGAGGAAAGUAGAAUUCCCGGUGUAGCGGUGAAAUGCGUAGAGAUCGGGAGGAAUACCAGUGGCGAAGGCGGCCUUCUGGACUGACACUGACGCUGAGGUGCGAAAGCGUGGGUAGCAAACAGGAUUAGAUACCCGUGUAGUC